rnacentral:rRNA from 1 species
GAUGAACGCUGGCGGCGUGCCUAAUACAUGCAAGUCGAGCGAACGGACGAGAAGCUUGCUUCUCUGAUGUUAGCGGCGGACGGGUGAGUAACACGUGGAUAACCUACCUAUAAGACUGGGAUAACUUCGGGAAACCGUAGCUAAUACCGGAUAAUAUUUUGAACCGCAUGGUUCAAAAGUGAAAGACGGUCUUGCUGUCACUUAUAGAUGGAUCCGCGCUGCAUUAGCUAGUUGGUAAGGUAACGGCUUACCAAGGCAACGAUGCAUAGCCGACCUGAGAGGGUGGUCGGCCACCCUGGAACUGAGACACGGUCCAGACUCCUACGGGAGGCAGCAGUAGGGAAUCUUCCGCAAUGGGCGAAAGCCUGACGGAGCAACGCCGCGUGAGUGAUGAAGGUCUUCGGAUCGUAAAACUCUGUUAUUAGGGAAGAACAUAUGUGUAAGUAACUGUGCACAUCUUGACGGUACCUAAUCAGAAAGCCACGGCUAACUACGUG